rnacentral:rRNA from 1 species
CCUACGGGAGGCAGCAGUGAGGAAUAUUGGUCAAUGGGCGGAAGCCUGAACCAGCCAAGUAGCGUGCGGGAUGAAGGCCCUACGGGUCGUAAACCGCUUUUGCACGGGGAUAACACCCUCCACUUGUGGAGGUCUGCAGGUACCGUGCGAAUAAGGGCCGGCUAAUUCCGUGCCAGCAGCCGCGGUAAUACGGAAGGCCCGAGCGUUAUCCGGAUUCAUUGGGCUUAAAGGGAGCGUAGGCGGGCGUUCAAGUCAGCUGUAAAAGCGCGCGGCGCAACCGCGCCCCGCAGUUGAAACUGGACGCCUUGAGUUCACAACAGGCAGGCGGAAUUCGUGGUGUAGCGGUGAAAUGCAUAGAUAUCACGAGGAACCACGAUUGCGAAGGCAGCCUGCCGGGGUGCGACUGACGCUGAGGCUCGAAGGUGCGGGUAUCAAACAGGAUUAGAUACCCUAGUAGUC